GUAAAUAUUUAGAAAGGAAAGGAAUAGUUCUCAUUCUCAUAAAAAUGAGGGAGGAAAAUGCCAUAUUGUAUAUUUCUUCUUAUGUUCAUAAUCCUUCAGUUAAUUUUUUAAGUUUAUUUUUUAUUUUUUGAGAUGGAGUCUCGCUCUGUCACCAGGCUGGAAUGCAGUGGCGCGAUCUUGGCUCACUGCAACCUCUGCCUCCUGGGUUCAAGCGAUUCUCCUGCCUCAACGUCCCAAGUAGCUGGGACUACAGGUGCGUGCCACCAUGACCAGGUAAUUUUUGUAUUUUUAAUAGAGACGGGGUUUCACCAUGUUGGCCAGGAUGGUCUCGAUCUGUUGACCUCGUGAUCUGCCCGCCUCGGCCUCCCAAAGUGCUGGGAUUAUAGGUGUGAGCUUUUACACAA
rnacentral:lncRNA from 10 species